GAUUAUUUUAAUUCAUUAUUCUCAAAUUUCUAUUUAUAUUAUCCAAUUAAUAGCCAAUAAUGGGCUUGAAUCCAAUAUAUAUACAUUUGAAUUUUUCUGCCCAAAACCCAAAUACUUUGGCUAAACCAUAAAAUAGUAAAAAUAUAAGGGUGCCAUGAGAUAUAAACCCAAAACCCUAAAUCACUUGUUUUUCUUUCAGCUGCCACCAGCAUAUCCUGUUGGACUUAAUGC
rnacentral:lncRNA from 1 species